rnacentral:rRNA from 1 species
AUACAGAGGGUGCAAGCGUUAUUCGGAAUUACUGGGCGUAAAGCGCGCGUAGGCGGAUGAUUAAGUCAGUUGUGAAAGCCCUGGGCUCAACCUAGGAACUGCAUCUGAUACUGGUCGUCUAGAGUUUAAGAGAGGGAAGUGGAAUUCCAGGUGUAGCAGUGAAAUGCGUAGAUAUCUGGAGGAACAUCAGUGGCGAAGGCGACUUCCUGGCUUAAAACUGACGCUGAGGUGCGAAAGCGUGGGGAGCAAACAGGAUUAGAAACCCCAGUAGUCC